CCUACGGGCGGCAGCAGUGAGGAAUCUUGGUCAAUGGGCGUAAGCCUGAACCAGCCAAGCCGCGUGAGGGAUGAAGGUUCUAUGGAUCGUAAACCUCUUUUAUCAGGGACUAAAGUGCGGGACGAGUACCGUUUUGUAUGUACGUAAUGAUUAAGGAUCGGCUAACUCAGUGCCAGCAGCCGCGGUAAUACGUAGGGUCCGAGCGUUAGCCGGAUUGAUUGGGUUUAAAGGGUGCGUAGGUGGCCUUUUACGUCAGCGGUGAAAGCUCGUGGCUCAACCAUAGGAUUGCCGUUGAUACUGGGAGGCUUGAGUGUGUUUGAGGCAGGCGGAAUGCGUGGUGUAGCGGUGAAAUGCUUAGAUAGUACGCAGAACCCCGAUUGCGAAGGCAGCCUGCCAAGCCAUGACUGACGCUGAUGCACGAAAGCGUGGGGAUCAAACAGGAUUAGAUACCCCAGUAGUC
rnacentral:rRNA from 1 species